rnacentral:rRNA from 1 species
UACGUAGGGGGCUAGCGUUGUCCGGAAUCAUUGGGCGUAAAGCGCGCGUAGGCGGCCCGGUAAGUCCGCUGUAAAAGUCAAAGGCUCAAUCUUUGAAUGUCAGUGGAUACUGCCGGGCUAGAGUCCGGAAGAGGCGAGUGGAACUCCUGGUGUAGCGGUGGAAUGCGCAGAUAUCAGGAAGAACACCGACGGCGAAGGCAGCUCGCUGGGACGGUACUGACGCUGAGGCGCGAAAUCGUGGGGAGCGAACAGG